GACAGAUGGCGCAGGCGUUAUUCGGUAUAACUGGGUGUAAAAGGUAUGUAGGCGGGUACGGAACCUCCUGUAAAAGAGCAGGGUAUUCCCAUGCGAUGCGGGAGAAUCUGAGUACCUAGUGUUAUUUAGAAGUUUGGGGAAUUCUGUGAUUAUCUAGGGGUGGAAUCCUACGAGCCACAGACGAUCGCCGAGGCGCAGGCACCUCUCUAAAAAUAACAGACGCUGAGGUACGGAAGCUUAGGUAGCAAACAGG
rnacentral:rRNA from 1 species